rnacentral:misc_RNA from 1 species
GAAAUGCGAUAAGUAAUGUGAAUUGCAGAAUUCAGUGAAUCAUCGAAUCUUUGAACGCACCUUGCGCUCCUUGGUAUUCCUUGGAGCAUGCCUGUUUGAGUAUCAUGAAAUCUUCAAAGUAAAUCUUUUGUUAACUCAAUUGGUUUCUACUUUGGUAUUGGAGGUCUUUGCAGCUUCACACCUGCUCCUCUUUGUUCAUUAGCUGGAUCUCAGUGUUAUGCUUGGUUCCACUCGGCGUGAUAAGUUAUCUAUCGCUGAGGCCACUGUAAAAGGUGGCCAAGGUAAAUGCAGAUGAACCGCUUCUAAUAGUCCAUUGACUUGGACAAUACUUUUAUGAUCUGAUCUCAAAUCAGGUAGGACUACCCGCUGAACUUAAGC